UACGUAGGGGGCUAGCGUUAUCCGGAAUUACUGGGCGUAAAGGGUGCGUAGGUGGUUUCUUAAGUCAGAGGUGAAAGGCUACGGCUCAACCGUAGUAAGCCUUUGAAACUGGGGAACUUGAGUGCUGGAGAGGAGAGUGGAAUUCCUAGUGUAGCGGUGAAAUGCGUAGAUAUUAGGAGGAACACCAGUUGCGAAGGCGGCUCUCUGGACUGUAACUGACACUGAGGCACGAAAGCGUGGGGAGCAAACAGG
rnacentral:rRNA from 1 species